GAUGAACGCUGGCGGCGUGCCUAACACAUGCAAGUCGAGCGAUGAAAUUAGUUUGCUUGCACUAAGGAAUAGCGGCGGACGGGUGAGUAACGCGUGGGUAACCUGGCCUAUACAGGGGGAUAGCAACGGGAAACUGUUGGUAAUACCGCGUAAGCUUAGAAUACCGCAUGGUAGACUAAGGAAAGAUUUAUCGGUAUAGGAUGGGCCCGCGACUGAUUAGCUAGUUGGCAGGGUAAAGGCCUACCAAGGCGACGAUCAGUAGCCGAUCUGAGAGGAUGACCGGCCACAUUGGGACUGAGACACGGCCCAAACUCCUACGGGAGGCAGCAGUGGGGAAUAUUGCACAAUGGAGGGAACUCUGAUGCAGCAACGCCGCGUGAAGGAAGAAGGUUUUCGGAUCGUAAACUUCUAUCGACAGGGAAGAAAAGAAUGACGGUACCUGAAUAAGAAGCCCCGGCUAACUACGUG
rnacentral:rRNA from 1 species